GGGAUAGAGAGAAUCUGAGCUAGAGAGAGGGGGGAGGAGGGAGAGAGAAUCUGAGCUAGAGAUAGAGAGAGAAUGUGCGCUAGAGAGAGAGAAGAGGAGUCGAGCAAGGGACAGUAGAACUGAGCUAUAGUGCGUAUGAGAGGGGGGGGAAGGAGAGAGGGAUCUCAACAGUAAGUGAAUGUGAGUGAGUGAGAGAGCGUUCCUCAAUCUCAGAAGCCCGUCUGGUAAUCUCUCCUCUGUGGAACAGGAUCCAGGGCUCUCCUCUCCAGCCUCUUGCCUCCCUGUGCAUCAUCAGAACCUCCACUGUCUUCUCUGUAAAGUGAGGCAACUGUUACAACACCUCCUCCAACUCUGAGUCUGACUACAACUGCACCUCCCGGAUUGUAACCCUUCCCUGCCUGCCUGCCUGCCUGCCUGCCUGCCUGCGGCUUCAACACCUGCUGAGAAUCGUUCCUCUACCUGCGCACCCCUCUCCUGUCUCCUGUCUCCUGUUUAGGAGGGAUCUCUUCUCCUCUUUAUUGAUUUCUACUGCCCCCCCUCACCUCCUUCCCUCUAUUUACAGCUGGUGUCUGAAAGCUCAGGGUGAACAUGAAGGCAGGCAGGACCGGGUCUCUCUUGUGGAGUUGGGUUCAGCCAGAAGAAUGGAUUUUCAAAGGGCUCCUUCUAACUCUGCUGCUCGGAGUGUGCUGGUCCCCGGGGGCUCUCUCUCUGGAGGUGUCUGUUGGGAAGAUACCGAGCCUGGAGGCUCUGAACGGCUCCGACGUGCUCCUGCCCUGCAGCUUCACCAGCUGCAUCGGCUACGAGGACCUGCUCUUCAGGUGGUCCUACAACAGGAACGGCACCUUGGAGCUGAUGCUUGAAGCGACUAUCAAAGGACCCAAAUAUGAGCCUCGAAUUCUCUUCUCAGAUUACCGUGUGCAGUUCGCUGGCACCUCGAAGACAAACAACAUCUCCAUCAUCCUGUUAAACGUGGACUUCGAGGACUCUGGACAGUACAUCUGCUACGCCAAGAAUCCCAAAGAGAAGAACCGUGUGCACCGAGCGACCUACACGCUCCUCGUCGUGUCUGAGAUGAAAGUAGUAGAUAAAACCCUGACCACCACUAUUUCUUCUCUCCCUCUCCCCUCUCUCCCCCUCUCUCUCCUCCUCUCCCCCUCUCUCUCUCUCUGCAGUGAAAGUAGUAGAUAAAACCCUGACCACCAUCAUUGCUUCAGUGGUGGGAGGGCUGAUUGGGUUCCUCAUUGUGUUUCUAUUGGGCAAGAAGCUCAUCCUCUUCGCCAUCGCCAAAUCCCGAGAAAGGAAGGAGUGCCUUGUAAGCUCCUCAGGGAUUGACAACACAGAGAACGGACCGACAGGAACCAAAGGCAAUAAGAAGCCAACACCAAAGGCAUGAAGAACAUGUUCCAAUACAUAGUCUUCGAGCUAUACAAAGAGUGCAGAUAUAGAAUAGAAUGUAAUAUAAUAAUAAUAAUAAUAAUAAUAAUAAUAAUAAUAAUAAUAAUAAUAAUAAUAAUAAUAAUAAUAAUAACAGCAAUGGACUAUUUUCCUUUUUAAAAAAAGAAAUAUUAUUGAAAUAAAAAACAUUAAUCAAUAAAUAUAUUCCUAUUUUAAAUGAGGGUUGCUGGUAGAGUUUCCCUUGUAGAAGCCUGCGCUGGGCUGGGCUGGGCUGGGCUGGGCUGGGUCUGGAGGUGAUUCCGUCCAGCGCAGGUCUUCCUGCUCUUUGCUUGAGAUAAACACAGUGCCUGUAAUGCUACACGACUCCCCCUGCUGGCGGAAGCAAUUACUGCUAUUUAAAAAAAAAAAAAAAAAAAAAAAAAAACGACUAAUCUUUUUUUUAUUAUUAUCCUAGAAUCCUAUAUCCAAUAUAAGCGAAUGAUAUUUUUUAAAUGCUGCUUCAUUAACCAAUGCAUUUUUUAGCAUGUAAAAUUUUAAAAAAAGAUUUUAUAUGAACGACUUCCAGAAUAUAUUUUUCUUUCUCCUUGUUUUGAAACCUUACUCCGUCUGUCUGAGAAAAUAGUGCGUUUUUAAAUCAUUGCUCAGCAAUGCUGAAAACGUGGAGCGACUCCCUGACGCGUUACCACGAACCUGCCUGCUCUUUGAUUGCUGGAAUGGAUUCCUGACGCAUCAGCGCAGUGUAGAGAUAGCUGAGCUGCAGCGCUAUGCCUGGGCUCAGUGCAGAGCGCAUUCCCGCUGCUUGGAUGUUAUCCCAGUUCUGUGUUCCUGCAAAGCAGCCCGGGUUGCGAUUGAAACUCGUUUAACGAUCUCUGUGUCAGUGAGCAGCAGGGCGUUCACACAGGCAGGGCUGCCGGGGACACACAGACAGACACACUGUCCCUGCCUGAGGAGAAACCACCUGGGAAUGCACCUCGUCUCACUGAGCGGACGAGGCUAUGCGAGAUUCAGAUGUAGAUUUACUAGAAGUUUUAUGGAAAAGGGAGAGCCGUAUUAAAAAACGUUUUCUUUAAAGAAAAUCUGGUCAAGUUAAAGAGUACCCACUUGAGUUUAAGAAGGAGGUUGCUUCAGGGAAAAUGAUAUCGCAUUCAUCUUGAGUCUCUCCUGUAGCGCUGAGAUUAAGCACUCAGUUUAGUUUGUGUAUUGUGGUCUGUCCAGACCCAGCCCUGUGUGUGAAGCUCUGCUGUCUCUCGCAAUAAUAAUACUGCCCCUGGACAGGUGAGCUGGGGUCAGUCUGUGCUGCUGGGGUCGUGGGCACGGCUGCCUCAUUGCUGUACCUCAGACAGCACAGCGCUCACAGUGACCUCGCUACACAGCACCGCUAUAUUAGUGCUGGAACGCGCAAUGUCUACGAUUGGGUUUGUAACACAGGAGUUUGUCUGGCCAUUUGAAAAAAAAAACAUUUUGCAAAAUUGUCACUGGAGCAAAAGUGCUUUCUAGGAUGUAUGGUAAAGGUGUGUCCCCCGCUGCAGCUCAGGUGUGCCCCCAGCCUCACCGUGUCAGAGUGCUCUGUGUGGUUAAGACUGUAUUACACUGUGUACCUUGUGCUGUUCUGGUUGCGAUUCAGCUGAGCCUCUCUGCGCUCCUCUCUGCUCUCUCAGCUCCAGCAGUCUGAUCAAGCCAGGGAAUGCAAAAGCACCUGGGCAUAAGCACACCUGCACACAGACACACCUGCACACAGACACACCUGCACAGACACACCUGCACACAGACACACAGACACACCUGCACACCUGCACACAAACACACAAACACACCUGCACACAGACACACAGACACACCUGCACACAAACACACAAACACAC